ACCUUCAAAGCGUAUAUUAAGUUGUUGUGGUUAAAAAGCUCGUAGUUGAACCUUGGGCCUGGCUGGCCGGUCCGCCUCACCGCGUGCACUGGUCCGGCCGGGCCUUUCCCUCUGCGGAACCCCAUGCCCUUCACUGGGUGUGGCGGGGAAACAGGACUUUUACUUUGAAAAAAUUAGAGUGCUCAAGGCAGGCCUAUGCUCGAAUACAUUAGCAUGGAAUAAUAGAAUAGGACGUGUGGUUCUAUUUUGUUGGUUUCUAGGACCGCCGUAAUGAUUAAUAGGGACAGUCGGGGGCAUCAGUAUUCAAUUGUCAGAGGUGAAAUUCUUGGAUUUAUUGAAGACUAACUACUGCGAAAGCAUUUGCCAAGGAUGUUUUCAUUAAUCAGGAACGAAAGUUAGGGGAUCGAAGACGAUCAGAUACCGUCGUAGUCUUAACCAUAAACUAUGCCGACUAGGGAUCGGACGAUGUUACAUUUUUGACGCGUUCGGCACCUUACGAGAAAUCAAAGUGCUUGGGCUCCAGGGGGAGUAUGGUCGCAAGGCUGAAACUUAAAGAAAUUGACGGAAGGGCACCACCAGGGGUGGAGCCUGCGGCUUAAUUUGACUCAACACGGGGAAACUCACCAGGUCCAGACACAAUGAGGAUUGACAGAUUGAGAGCUCUUUCUUGAUUUUGUGGGUGGUGGUGCAUGGCCGUUCUUAGUUGGUGGAGUGAUUUGUCUGCUUAAUUGCGAUAACGAAACGAGACCUUAAACCUGCUAAAUAGCCCGUAUUGCUUUGGCAGUACGCCGGCUUCUUAGAGGGACUAUCGGCUCCAAGCCCGAAGAAAUUUUCA
rnacentral:rRNA from 1 species